GGUGUGUUUGGUCGAUUAAAAACGCAGGGAACGAGCAGGAGCUUCACACAAACCCUAACUCUCACUAAAUCAAUCAAUUGAAGGCUCUAAUCUGGUCCAAAUCGAAAUCCGAGCACGUAUUAGUGAUCCCCACUGAAAAAGGAGUCACAAGUUUGACUCUGACAAGCUAGGUAGGAGCUUGGAAAUGAACGGGUCAAAUGGAUACAAGUUCAAGUAUGAAGCUCGCAAGGAUGCAAGGUAAGUAUAACUUACACUAGUCGUAUAUUUUAGAAUGUUCUUUUGUCGUAUUGACUACGAAUAAGACAAAUGGUAAUUUAGUCACACGUUGACAAUAAUCGUUAGUUUUAAAAGACGCUUUCCCGCGUAAGACAUAAAGAGCCGAAAGUGGUAAUAAACGGUUUAUAAAUAAAAUGAGCAUACGGUGUUAAAAGGAGCGAGUCAUGUAGAUGAGAUGAUAAUAAAUAUUAUCUCGCAAAGAUAAACGGUCAAUUCGGCCAAACGGGUCAAAAGGACACUCGCGUUUGAAGAUGACGAGAGUUGAACAGAUUGUGGAUAUCCAAUGGAUACUCGCAUCGCUCUUAAUUAGCAAUUAUAAAGCAAGGUAUUAAACCGGGUUAGUAAGUUGAUCCGAGCCAGGUAUGUAUAAUAGAUUAACUCAUCAUGUAGAACUUGAAGUUCUAUGAAAGUUAGGCAAAAUAAAAAAAAGGGCAUUCGGUUACCUUAAUAGGUAAACCGAAGGAUUUAAAUUAUUUAGACAGAAUGUUUUGAAAACAAGAUUUGGUUAAAAAUGAGAAAUUAGAAUCAAACAACAGGUUUGUUUGAUAAAAUCACGAACGGGUCAAAUUUGGUAAAAAGGGUUAAUAAGCCGAAGACUUAAAAGUCUUAAAUUUUGUUAAUCCAGAUGUUGGGUCUUGACUCCAUUUGAUGGAGGUUCAAUUUACAAUCACGUAGGAAGAAACGGUAGGUCAAAUGGACAAGCGGAUUAAAAGUUAUGAAGGUUUCCGUUUUAGAAAUCGGCAAACUUGGAAAAUCUUGCAGAGGCCACCGUAAGUUACGGUAGCUACCGUAACUUACGGUAGCCUUAAAAAUCUUUACGCCUUAAACCCACUGACUUACGGUGGAAGAAUCAACAUUCAGGGGCUACCGUAAAUUACGGUAGCCACCGUAAUUUACGGUAGACCCUGUAACAAAAUUUAUUUUAAUCAGUUUCGUUUCCCAGAACUCGUUAGACACGUUUAUAACCCCCGUAAGACUAAAGCAUUUCUUGUUUAUGAAAUGUAGGUACAUUUUGGAUGCUGGAAGAUGAUCAAGCUCAUUGGAGAACCGAACACGAUAUAGAUACACGCUUCCGCACAUUGCCACGUUGUAAAUUUUAAACAACGAACUCAAUUACGUUUGUUGGAUAACUUAUGAUUUGUAAAAGUUUUAAUAAACCCGCAUUUUGUACAGUAUGUGUGGUCUUAACUACACAUCUAAUUGUGGUAUUUUCAUGUAAAAUUGUAAUUUAGUAACUAGGGUGU
rnacentral:lncRNA from 1 species